AAAACGGCCCUUUUCAGGGCCACAUAAUAAUUUUGAAAAGAAUUACU
rfam:Anopheles farauti strain FAR1 unplaced genomic scaffold supercont2.12, whole genome shotgun sequence.